AGGAAUGUAUCAGCCCUGAGAAAAGGCUAAGAUCCAAGUCAGUGCCUGUAUCCCAUGAGGAGAUCAGCUGUCUGGAACUGACGUCUGGCUCAGAGGCGUCCACUGCACCUGUGCAAGGCCUUGAACCACCUGUGCUGGAGUGCCUGGAAAAGGACCAUGUGGAGCCAGACCACGUGCUGAUAGUGCAACAAGUGCUUCAGGAACUGCGACACUACCAUGGG